rnacentral:rRNA from 1 species
GACGAACGCUGGCGGCGUGCUUAACACAUGCAAGUCGAACGGAAAGGCCCUUGUUUGGUGGGGUUCGCGAGUGGCGAACGGGUGAGUAAUACGUGGGUAACCGUCCCUUGAUGUUGGGAUGACUUCAGAAAACUGGGUUUAAUACGCGAUAGGAGUUCGGGCUGCAGGGUGGGGGUUGGAGGGUUUCGGCGGUUGGGUAUGGACUUGGGGCUUAUCAGCUUGUUGGGGGGGUAGUGGCUUACCAAGGCUUUGACGGGUAGCCGGCCUGAGGGGGUGACCGGCCACAUUGGGACUGAGAUACGGCCCAGACUCCUACGGGAGGCAGCAGUGGGGAAUAUUGCACAAUGGGCGGAAGCCUGAUGCAGCAACGCCGCGUGCGGGAUGACGGCCUUCGGGUUGUAAACCGCUUUCGCCUGUGACGAAGCGUGAGUGACGGUAAUGGGUAAAGAAGCACCGGCUAACUACGUG